GUCAGGUAACCAGUUAGGUAACCUGUCAGAUUACCUGUCAGGUAACCAGUGCAAACCUGGUCAGGUAACCAGUUAGGUAACCUGUCAGGUUACCUGUCAGGUAACCAGUACAAACCUGAGCUCUGGGGGAGGGCUGUGCUGGUCCAAAGGUGCCAGAGAGCUCGGGGAGCUCAGGGCACAGCUCCCACCUCCUGCCCCAGAUCUGACCCCUGGCUGGACCAUUGGACCACCAUGUACAAACCCUGGGCAUCAGGAGCUCAUGAACUGAGACCCUCCUUGAUUUUUGGCAUCAGACACUUUGGGGUGUGGCCACCCUUGGGCAUCACUGCUGCAGCUACAGCUGCCUUGUGAGGGGAAGGGGAGGAGCAGACACUGAUCUCUGGUGACCAGGGACAGAACCCAAGGGAAGGGCCUGAAGUUGUGUCAGGGGAGGUUCAAGAAAAAGGUUCUUCACCCAGAGAGUGGCUGGGCACUGGAAGAGGUUCCCCAGGGAAGUGGUCACAGCCCCAAGCCUGACAGAUCUGGACAAUCCUCCUGGGCACAUGGUGUGGCUUUUGGGGUGUCCUGUGCAGGGCCAGAAGUUGGACUCAGGGAUGCUCGUGGGUCCCUCCCAGCUCAGCAGAUUCUGUGGUUCUGUGGUUCUGUGAUCAGUGCUCCCAGGCACUGGGCUGGCACAUGGCAGCAUUCACUUCAGCUGGAAGCUAAGGAGGCAAUUCCUUGCUGUCUUUUCCAGAGAGUCAACUCUUAGUGCCUUUUUGCAGAGAGGGCUGAGCUAAGUGCAGGGUGAUCAGCUUUCUGGGGUGUUUUGGUGAUGUGAAAACUGCUGUCAUGUGGGACAAGGAAAAAGGGCUCACGUCAGAGGAAUGCUAGCAGAAGACAGAAAUAGCAAUAAUGGAAAACAAGUGAUAUCCAAGCACACAGUUCCUGUCCCCAGACCUGCUGGGAGCACUGAUUCCCUGCAGACAUGCCACACACAAGUCAGUUCACUCCAGUCUUACACCUCCUUCCACUCUGCCUACCUCAAGUAGCAGCAGAGGUGACAAGCUCAUGAUCUCUGCUCUCUCAACUGUUAAAUGGAGCAAAAUGGGUGGUGAAACCAAAUAAAAAUCCAUCCAUCAGAGAACAAAGCCAUUCUUUGGGUCAGUGUCAGCCUUAGGGAAUGCAGGAGUCUCUCAGUACCAGAGAAAAAGAAGCCACAGCAGCUCCCACCUGAUUCCUUGAGGUGCUGGGCCACAUCUCCCCUUGCUAAUGGCAAUAAAUGUGGAGGAAUCUGUUUGACUCAGCUCAGCCCUGGGAUUUAACAGAGUCCCAGAUCAGCUUGGCUCUCUUCUUUCCAGCAGUAAAAUACCUUAUGUUCUUUUCUGAACUCCCAUCAGAGCUGCAAAUUCCUGGGGAGCUCUUGUGGAGCCAGGCAGGAUUUUACUCCUGUUCUAAGGACUGUGCAGAAGGCAGUGGAGAGAGACAUGAGCAAACACUCACAUGUGCUUUGGUGGCUGAACAGUCUGUAACUUUCAAUACUCUGAUGGUUUUGACUAUUCAAUAGAAGCAAUCUGACAUGUUUCUCAACUGUCUGCUAUAGCCAAAAAACCUUCUUCACCCAGAUCAACUAUUAUAAUAUUUUUGAAUCCUAAACCACAUUCAAUUUCUCUGUUGUUUUAGCUGAGGUUUAACAAGCAUGUUAAUCAAAUUAUCAAAUACAGCCUUGAAGUGAUCUGAUGCUGACAUAGAAAAAUAAAAACCCCAAUGUUGGAGUCCUGUAGCAAAAGUUUCUACAUAUGUUAAAAAGCACAUCAAUAAUUUGCAACCAACUCUGUUUAAUUGUGCAAUAGAAUGCUCUGCUUCCAUCAUCCCAGGGAUCCAGCCCUGAGCCUCCAGAUCUCAUUCUGUUUGACACAUGCAGAGCCAAAGCAUCUUCAUUCCACUUUUAAAAAUAAAUGACAGACUUGUAACUUUUCUUAUGUGAAAACUUCUGCUUGGCUUUGAAUUCAAGUACACACAGCUCUGACCUCACAUCAGUGAGGAGAAUCUUGUUAAUUAUUUCGAAUUCUGAAGCUCAGGAUUUAGGAGCAGUUACACUUUUUGGCUGGCUGUGUCACAUUUCCUGUGAUGCAAGGUAGGAGGUAGAGUUGCAAUCUUCAGUAUUUCCCUUUAAAAACCUCUUCCCAUGGCCAGUCAGAGUUGCCAAAGGCACAGAGCAGAGGAAGUUCUGGUCCAUCCUUCCCCUGACCUGAGUUCACUGGAGAAGAGCUGCUUUUGAAUGAGCCACAGGAGCCAUGCUGAGUUUAUUUUAGUUGGGUUUAUAUUAGGUCUGAUUUCUGCUGAUCCCUUCAUUUUUCAUCAUUUCAUCUGUCUCUUCCAGUUGUUCCCGUUGGAGAGGGCUGUGUUUGGAGAGCUCCUGAGCCAGAGUGCUGUGCCUGCAGAUUCAUCUCUGCUCCCUCCCCUCGGGCAGUGCCUCACCUGUGCCCUGGGCUCACCUCAGACAUUAACUCUGUCAUGGUUGGAGGCUGGUGCAGUGCCAGUGCCCCCAUGAAAAUACAUUCUCCUUAAUGUCUGCUGUGAGAUGUGACCAGAAACAGAGCAAAGCAGCUCCAGCUUAGGAAUAAAGGAAAGAACUUAUGAACUUACAGUAUGAAAAAAGAAACACACAGAACUCAGAAUGAAAACCUUCCAAAAACAUUCCUCCUCCUCCUCCUCCUCCCCCCAGUUUCCACCCCCACAUGAAAGGAGGUCUGACCUCUUUCAGGGACCAGAACCAAGAGGAAGUUCCCCUGGGAGGGCUCUGCUUUUAACCCCCUGUGUCUCAGAGGUGUAUCCAUGUCCUCAGUGGCCAAUAUUCACAUCUGAGCCCCCACUGGUUUGACCAGAGCCUCCCAAAAAUCUCACUUCCCUCUCAAACCAGCACACCCUGCAAACUGCCCUAAAUAUCUUCAGGUUUGUUCCUCUGAAGCAUGAAGUGCAGCUGAGCCCCAGAGAGCUGUGAGCUCUGUUCAUAACUGCACAUUCUGUUUAACACCUACAGGAUCUGAAUUUGAACUGGGAAGGACUGGGAGGGAGUGGGUGGCCAGAGCUUCACUUUGUGGUUAGAGGGGGAAUCAUAAGGUAAAAAUCAUCUGUUGGAAAAUAGAAACACAGUGCAAGCCCCAAUACCCAGCACUGCUGUUUGAUUUCUUCUGACAAUUUCAUACACAAAUAGCAAAAUAAAUUAUUUUCAUGAUGCUCCAGAGUGUCCUUCUGCAGUCUGAGGUACACAUCCUUCAAGGCUGGGGGAGCAACUUGUAUUCCAGUGAUCUUUACUAGAGCCAGCAGCACUGCUUUACAUGGGCAAUUCUUGCUGUGAAAUCAGCCUGUUUUCCUUCAAUGGACCAUUUUUACAUAGAUUUCUUUCAGAUUUUCAUUAAUCAGAUAUUUUCUGCAGAGGAUGGUUCUCAGCCAGUGAUUUCCUUGCAAGCUCUCCACCAGAACUCCCUCUUUGAGUGCUUGCCAUGCAUUAAUGUGCAGUUUUCCUGUGGAACUGGCCAUCCCAAUCACAUGGUGGCUCUGCUUUCUCCUGGCUGGAUGCCUUCCAAUCCCACAGAAAGCUUUCUAGGGGCUCCAGGAUGUCUGGUGAUGACUGUGAGAUGGCUGCUGGCAGCAGUGUUAAUGCAAAUGCAUAUUUGAGUGUGUUCUCAUGACAUAUUUCCAAUCCUGUGAUCAAAAACGUGCCUAUAGACAUUUUCAAGGGAAAAACCCCCAACUUGGGGUGCUGUCAAAAGUGCAUUUGCCUUUACUUGCAGCAGAAAAUGUUCACAGGUUGGUUUUGUUCCUUUCACUGGAUUUGCCUCUCAGCCUCAGAUCAUCAAGGGAAAAAUAUCCACCCUGGAAAUCCUGCAAAGAGUUCAUUAAAAUAAGAGUGACCUCCCAGCAUCAGGGCAUGGCAUAUUUCCACAUGAGGGGAGUGGCAUGAUGGUAUUUUGGGAUUUGUGUUGCUGCAUAUUCACCCUUGGUUCAUUUAAGAAAAUAAAGUGAGCUCGAAUUGUGCUGCAGCUGAGGUUUGGGAAGUGAGGAAGUGCAGGAGCAGCACUGCACACUGCUGGACUCUCACCUGUGCCAGAGCACUUCCAUUUGUCACAGACACAGGAAAUGGUGCAGCCUCACCUGGUGUCACACAAUGAGAUAAUUUAUCAUUGUACUGCUGGUACAACCCUUCAGGGUUUCAUGAGUUUCUCACCUGGCUGGGACUGCCAAAAUCUGGGCCAGAAAUCCCAACAAAAUGCAGUAUUUGUUCAUGAUCUGUUGCUUGAUUAUUUCUCUCUCUAUAGACAAACCCUGGUGGCAAAUCUCUAACUGGAUUUUCACACUUGCCCUUGACUCAUUGGAUUAGAUUGCUGCUUCCUUUAAUGCCAUAAUUAAACAUUUCCAUGCCUUAAACCAAAGCAAGGCUUGCAAACCUGGCCCUGUGGCUGCUGCUGCCCAGGGCUGUGCUGGGAGGAGGGGGCAGGUCCCUGCUGUGCUGAGCACAGGGGCUCUGAGGGUUUCAUCACAGAAAUGUUUGCUCAGUGGCACUCACUCUUGGCUUUUUUCUUGGAACUUUGAGCAAACGUGGCCUUUGUUUGCAUUUUUCCCUGGGAUUUGUUUACUGUUCAUUUGUGCUGCACAUGCUGUGAGAAAUUAAGACACUAUGUCCAUAUUUUUUUUUCCUUUCUCCUGCUUUCAUUCCUUCCCAUUCCUUCCCCCCCCCCCCCCCCCCCCCCCCCUUAAAAAUCCUUACAAUUCCUUUCAUUACUUGGUGUUAACAGGACAAAAGAAAUAAAUACUUGAAAGAA